rnacentral:tRNA from 1 species
AAUAAAGUGCCUGAAUAAAGGAUUAUUCUGAUAGGAUAAAUUAUGUAAAUAAAAUUACCUUUAUUA